rnacentral:rRNA from 1 species
AUUGAACGCUGGCGGCAUGCCUUACACAUGCAAGUCGAACGGCAGCAUGAUCUAGCUUGCUAGAUUGAUGGCGAGUGGCGAACGGGUGAGUAAUACAUCGGAACGUGCCCUGUAGUGGGGGAUAACUAGUCGAAAGAUUAGCUAAUACCGCAUACGAACUGAGGGUGAAAGUGGGGGACCGCAAGGCCUCAUGCUAUAGGAGCGGCCGAUGUCUGAUUAGCUAGUUGGUGGGGUAAAGGCUCACCAAGGCGACGAUCAGUAGCUGGUCUGAGAGUACGAUCAGCCACACUGGGACUGAGACACGGCCCAGACUCCUACGGGAGGCAGCAGUGGGGAAUUUUGGACAAUGGGGGCAACCCUGGUCCAGCAAUGCCGCGUGUGUGAAGAAGGCCUUCGGGUUGUAAAGCACUUUUGUCCGGAAAGAAAUCGCACUUACUAAUAUUAGGUGUGGAUGACGGUACCGGAAGAAUAGGGACCGGCUAACUACGUGCCAGCCGCCGCCGUAAUAC